rnacentral:lncRNA from 1 species
GAGUCAGCAGACUUAGAGCCUGUUGAGAAUGUUAGUCCAAUAAGUCAACAUUGCGAAUUUGACUUUAAUCUUAAUGUUGGAUGGACAGACCAAUUAGAAUGCAAAGAGAUAUCGAAGAUACCCAAAAAUCCUAAUAAUAGUGGGAGUUCGUAAACAACUCUACCCCCAGUCCUCGUCUACAAAUACAUCCAGAGGUGAUAAUAAGCACAGAGGCAAAUGUCAGAGAAAUGACCAAUAAUGGUGAAGAUUCUAAUCUAUACGUUGAAUAUUUUAGUGACCCCG